rnacentral:rRNA from 1 species
GGAGUUAGCCGGUGCUUCUUCUGUGAGUGAUGUCCUUCCUGCCGGCUAUUAACCCGCAGGCCUUCUUCCUCACUGAAAGUGCUUUACAACCCGAAGGCCUUCUUCACACACGCGGCAUGGCUGGAUCAGGGUUGCCCCCAUUGUCCAAUAUUCCCCACUGCUGCCUCCCGUAGGAGUCUGGGCCGUGUCUCAGUCCCAGUGUGGCUGAUCAUCCUCUCAGACCAGCUACGGAUCGUCGCCUUGGUGAGCCGUUACCUCACCAACCAGCUAAUCCGACAUAGGCUCAUCCGAUAGCGCGAGGCCCGAAGGUCCCCCGCUUUCCCCCGUAGGGCGUAUGCGGUAUUAGCCUGGGUUUCCCCAGGUUAUCCCCCACUACCGGGCAGAUUCCUAUGCAUUACUCACCCGUCCGCCGCUCGCCACCAGGGAGCAAGCUCCCCGUGCUGCCGCUCGACUUGCAUGUGUAGCUGCCGCCACGCGUUCAUCUGAGCGAGAUACAACUACUGA